CCCUUCGUAGGUGAACCUGCGGAGGGAUCAUUGCUGGAACGCGCUUCGGCGCACCCAGAAACCCUUUGUGAACUUAUACCUUACUGUUGCCUCGGCGCAGGCCGGCCUCUACUGCUGAGGCCCCCCGGAGACGGGGAGCAGCCCGCCGGCGGCCAACCAAACUCUUGUUUCUACAGUGAAUCUCUGAGUAAAAAACAUAAAUGAAUCAAAACUUUCAACAACGGAUCUCUUGGUUCUGGCAUCGAUGAAGAACGCAGCGAAAUGCGAUAAGUAAUGUGAAUUGCAGAAUUCAGUGAAUCAUCGAAUCUUUGAACGCACAUUGCGCCCUCUGGUAUUCCGGAGGGCAUGCCUGUUCAAGCGUCAUUUCAACCCUCAAGCCUGGCUUGGUGUUGGGGCACUGCCUGUAAAAGGGCAGGCCCUGAAAUCUAGUGGCGAGCUCGCUAGGACCCCGAGCGUAGUAGUUAUAUCUCGUUCUGGAAGGCCCUGGCGGUGCCCUGCCGUUAAACCCCCAACUUCUGAAAUUUUGACCUCGGAUCAGGUAGGAAUACCCGCUGAACUUAAGCAUAUCAAUAAGCGGAGGAA
rnacentral:rRNA from 1 species